rnacentral:rRNA from 1 species
AUGCAACCGAAGACUAUGGUUGACCCAACAAGCAACGCCUGGCUCAGACCCAAUUCCAUCUACUUCACCAACAUCCCGCUCUGCGACCGUUUCGCCAUGGGAUGCCUUGGGCGUCGAGGCUUGUGGGCCUUGGACGUGGUCACCGGCCGGAUCACUUGGCCGCGCGCACCGAGCGGCGUGGUCGAGAGGCCUCUGGAAUCAGAAUGGACGGCUUGGCCGCGCGCACCGCGCCACAUGUUCGAUAAGCAGCUGGGAUCGGAAUUGGACGUGGACUGGGCAAAAUCCCUUUGGUUCAUGCCCUGCUUGACACAACCCAGAUAA